rnacentral:rRNA from 1 species
AUUGAACGCUGGCGGCAGGCUUAACACAUGCAAGUCGAGCGGAGAUGAGGUGCUUGCACCUUAUCUUAGCGGCGGACGGGUGAGUAAUGCUUAGGAAUCUGCCUAUUAGUGGGGGACAACAUUCCGAAAGGAAUGCUAAUACCGCAUACGUCCUACGGGAGAAAGCAGGGGAUCUUCGGGCCUUGCGCUACUAGAUGAGCCUAAGUCGGAUUAGCUAGUUGGUGGGGUAAAGGCCUACCAAGGCGACGAUCUGUAGCGGGUCUGAGAGGAGGAUCCGCCACACUGGGACUGAGACACGGCCCAGACUCCUACGGGAGGCAGCAGUGGGGAAUAUUGGACAAUGGGGGGAACCCUGAUCCAGCCAUGCCGCGUGUGUGAAGAAGGCCUUAUGGUUGUAAAGCACUUUAAGCGAGGAGGAGGCUACUGAGACUAAUACUCUUGGAUAGUGGACGUUACUCGCAGAAUAAGCACCGGCUAACUCUGUGCCAGCAGCCGCGGUAAUAC